rnacentral:tRNA from 1 species
GGGGAUGUAGCUCAGUGGCACUGCACCUGCCUCAUAAGCACAAGGUCCCAAGUUCGAUCCCUGGUACCCCCC